GCACCAAGGGGAUGGCCCAAGCCAUUCAUGAGGAAUCUGUUCCCAUGAUCCAAAUCCCUCCCACCAGGCCCCACCUCCAACGUUGGAGAUUAAAAUUCAGUAUGAGAUCUGGAGGGGAGAAACGUCCAAACUCUAUCAGAUAAUUUCUUCUGAAUUUUGUCCUUGGAGGUGUGGGAAGAAUGAAUAUUGAAUAUUCAUACUCAACAUGAAUAUUUUGGAAGCUGGGCCUGAAAGUUAAGGUUCACUGAAAGCUAAAAAUGAGAUGAACUCAGUGAAAGUACUGUGGAAAGAGGCACCUGGCUGGAUAUUUGAAUCUUCUUAACCCUGAGCUCUGCUUCAGUCUCAUCUGUUGUGUUCAUGACAUGACUCUCUAAUCACUAUGGGCAAUUGGGAAAAUGGUUAUUUUCAAAAAGAAAUUGACUUGUCUCUUCGUAGUUUAAUGUAGAAGCAGGUAUAGUUUGGUUAUGGUGAAAUCUGGUCCAAUGACGGCAUCCACAGAUGAGGCCAAAGCUUGAAUGCCCUUGGAGCCUAUACUGCUUUUAGGCCCUGGCAGAAACAUGGUUUUUAAAUCACAUUCCAAAGUGCAAUUACCAACAAUGAAUAAAUACAUCAUAACAAUGGGGGAAGCAGAAAAUGACUUUAGAAAGACAGAGUGAUCUUUUGAGACACAGUCUAUAUAAUUCCUAGGAAGCCCUGAUAGUAUCUUCUUGGGAAAUCUCCCUGCUGCAGGAAACUGCCUUCCUAGAUUUUACCUCACUGCCUCUAGUUGCAGUUACUUCAGGUAAACAGACCUCCUUUUAACUGUGACUCUUCCUCAGAGAACCAAAAUAUGCUUUGUUUUUUCUUGGGCCCUAUAGGAUCCUGGUUUGGGAUAAAUCUCAUAUGUCUAUUUUCCAAAGAUCAUUUUGGUUUCUCUGUAUUUGUAAAUGCACUUGAUUGUAAUCACAAAAGAAAAGACAGUGAUGCACUGUGUUGGCUCUGAAGAAAAACAUUGACCAGACAGAAAGUCUUCCCCAUAGCCAAACUGAGCUGUAAUGACCGUGCUUUUCAUUUCUCCCAGGAAAUAGUAAUAUAAUUGGUCACUGUAUUACAGUAAACAGUUUGUUCAUUCUUUGUUCAGUAGAAAAUGUUUGGGAGAUAUGUCUCACAUAAUAUGCUGGCUUCACGAUAAUAAAGACUGGGAAUAGAUUUGUUUCUAA
rnacentral:lncRNA from 10 species